GGUUAAGCGACUAAGCGUACACGGUGGAUGCCCUGGCAGUCAGAGGCGAUGAAGGACGUGCUAAUCUGCGAUAAGCGUCGGUAAGGUGAUAUGAACCGUUAUAACCGGCGAUUUCCGAAUGGGGAAACCCAGUGUGAUUCGUCACACUAUCAUUAACUGAAUCCAUAGGUUAAUGAGGCGAACCGGGGGAACUGAAACAUCUAAGUACCCCGAGGAAAAGAAAUCAACCGAGAUUCCCCCAGUAGCGGCGAGCGAACGGGGAGCAGCCCAGAGCCUGAAUCAGUGUGUGUGUUAGUGGAAGCGUCUGGAAAGGCGCGCGAUACAGGGUGACAGCCCCGUACACAAAAAUGCACAUGCUGUGAGCUCGAUGAGUAGGGCGGGACACGUGGUAUCCUGUCUGAAUAUGGGGGGACCAUCCUCCAAGGCUAAAUACUCCUGACUGACCGAUAGUGAACCAGUACCGUGAGGGAAAGGCGAAAAGAACCCCGGCGAGGGGAGUGAAAAAGAACCUGAAACCGUGUACGUACAAGCAGUGGGAGCACGCUUAGGCGUGUGACUGCGUACCUUUUGUAUAAUGGGUCAGCGACUUAUAUUCUGUAGCAAGGUUAACCGAAUAGGGGAGCCGAAGGGAAACCGAGUCUUAACUGGGCGUUAAGUUGCAGGGUAUAGACCCGAAACCCGGUGAUCUAGCCAUGGGCAGGUUGAAGGUUGGGUAACACUAACUGGAGGACCGAACCGACUAAUGUUGAAAAAUUAGCGGAUGACUUGUGGCUGGGGGUGAAAGGCCAAUCAAACCGGGAGAUAGCUGGUUCUCCCCGAAAGCUAUUUAGGUAGCGCCUCGUGAAUUCAUCUCCGGGGGUAGAGCACUGUUUCGGCAAGGGGGUCAUCCCGACUUACCAACCCGAUGCAAACUGCGAAUACCGGAGAAUGUUAUCACGGGAGACACACGGCGGGUGCUAACGUCCGUCGUGAAGAGGGAAACAACCCAGACCGCCAGCUAAGGUCCCAAAGUCAUGGUUAAGUGGGAAACGAUGUGGGAAGGCCCAGACAGCCAGGAUGUUGGCUUAGAAGCAGCCAUCAUUUAAAGAAAGCGUAAUAGCUCACUGGUCGAGUCGGCCUGCGCGGAAGAUGUAACGGGGCUAAACCAUGCACCGAAGCUGCGGCAGCGACGCUGAUGCGUUGUUGGGUAGGGGAGCGUUCUGUAAGCCUGUGAAGGUGUGCUGUGAGGCAUGCUGGAGGUAUCAGAAGUGCGAAUGCUGACAUAAGUAACGAUAAAGCGGGUGAAAAGCCCGCUCGCCGGAAGACCAAGGGUUCCUGUCCAACGUUAAUCGGGGCAGGGUGAGUCGACCCCUAAGGCGAGGCCGAAAGGCGUAGUCGAUGGGAAACAGGUUAAUAUUCCUGUACUUGGUGUUACUGCGAAGGGGGGACGGAGAAGGCUAUGUUGGCCGGGCGACGGUUGUCCCGGUUUAAGCGUGUAGGCUGGUUUUCCAGGCAAAUCCGGAAAACUAAGGCUGAGGCGUGAUGACGAGGCACUACGGUGCUGAAGCAACAAAUGCCCUGCUUCCAGGAAAAGCCUCUAAGCAUCAGGUAACAUCAAAUCGUACCCCAAACCGACACAGGUGGUCAGGUAGAGAAUACCAAGGCGCUUGAGAGAACUCGGGUGAAGGAACUAGGCAAAAUGGUGCCGUAACUUCGGGAGAAGGCACGCUGAUAUGUAGGUGAAGUCCCUCGCGGAUGGAGCUGAAAUCAGUCGAAGAUACCAGCUGGCUGCAACUGUUUAUUAAAAACACAGCACUGUGCAAACACGAAAGUGGACGUAUACGGUGUGACGCCUGCCCGGUGCCGGAAGGUUAAUUGAUGGGGUUAGCGCAAGCGAAGCUCUUGAUCGAAGCCCCGGUAAACGGCGGCCGUAACUAUAACGGUCCUAAGGUAGCGAAAUUCCUUGUCGGGUAAGUUCCGACCUGCACGAAUGGCGUAAUGAUGGCCAGGCUGUCUCCACCCGAGACUCAGUGAAAUUGAACUCGCUGUGAAGAUGCAGUGUACCCGCGGCAAGACGGAAAGACCCCGUGAACCUUUACUAUAGCUUGACACUGAACAUUGAGCCUUGAUGUGUAGGAUAGGUGGGAGGCUUUGAAGUGUGGACGCCAGUCUGCAUGGAGCCGACCUUGAAAUACCACCCUUUAAUGUUUGAUGUUCUAACGUUGACCCGUAAUCCGGGUUGCGGACAGUGUCUGGUGGGUAGUUUGACUGGGGCGGUCUCCUCCUAAAGAGUAACGGAGGAGCACGAAGGUUGGCUAAUCCUGGUCGGACAUCAGGAGGUUAGUGCAAUGGCAUAAGCCAGCUUGACUGCGAGCGUGACGGCGCGAGCAGGUGCGAAAGCAGGUCAUAGUGAUCCGGUGGUUCUGAAUGGAAGGGCCAUCGCUCAACGGAUAAAAGGUACUCCGGGGAUAACAGGCUGAUACCGCCCAAGAGUUCAUAUCGACGGCGGUGUUUGGCACCUCGAUGUCGGCUCAUCACAUCCUGGGGCUGAAGUAGGUCCCAAGGGUAUGGCUGUUCGCCAUUUAAAGUGGUACGCGAGCUGGGUUUAGAACGUCGUGAGACAGUUCGGUCCCUAUCUGCCGUGGGCGCUGGAGAACUGAGGGGGGCUGCUCCUAGUACGAGAGGACCGGAGUGGACGCAUCACUGGUGUUCGGGUUGUCAUGCCAAUGGCACUGCCCGGUAGCUAAAUGCGGAAGAGAUAAGUGCUGAAAGCAUCUAAGCACGAAACUUGCCCCGAGAUGAGUUCUCCCUGACUCCUUGAGAGUCCUGAAGGAACGUUGAAGACGACGACGUUGAUAGGCCGGGUGUGUAAGCGCAGCGAUGCGUUGAGCUAACCGGUACUAAUGAACCGUGAGGCUUAACCUU
rnacentral:rRNA from 4 species